rnacentral:rRNA from 1 species
CACGUAAGGAGCGAGCGUUGUUCGGAAUUAUUGGGCGUAAAGGGCAAGCAGGCGGCCUUGUAAGUCUGGCGUGAAAUACCAAGGCUCAACCUUGGAAACGCGCUGGAAACUGUGAGGCUAGAAUCCGUGAGGGGUAUGUGGAAUUCCUGGUGUAGGGGUGAAAUCUGUUGAUAUCAGGAAGAACACCUGAGGCGAAGGCGACAUACUGGCACUGGAUUGACGCUGAGAUGCGAAAGCGUAGGGAGCGAACAGG